rnacentral:rRNA from 1 species
AUACGGAGGACGCGAGCGUUAUCCGGAUUCAUUGGGUUUAAAGGGUGCGCAGGCGGCCGUGCAAGUCAGCGGUGAAAGCCCGGGGCUCAACCCCGGAAGUGCCGUUGAUACUGCAUGGCUGGAAUGCGGUCGAGGCGGGCGGGACGGGGGGUGUAGCGGUGAAAUGCGUAGAUAUGCCACAGAACGCCGAUAGCGGAGGCAGCUCGCCAGGCCUGCAUUGACGCUCGGGCACGAAAGCGUGGGGAUCGAACAGGAUUAGAUACCCUGGUAGUCCACGCCGUAAACGAUGGGCGCUCGUCGUCGGCGGCAGACAGUCGGCGGCCAAGCGAAAGCGAUAAGCGCCCCACCUGGGGAGUACGGUCGCAAGGCUGAAACUCAAAUGAAUUGGCGGGG